UACAGAGGUCCCAAGCGUUGUUCGGAUUCACUGGGCGUAAAGGGUGCGUAGGUGGUCGGGUAAGUCUGAUGUGAAAGCUCUGGGCUCAACCCAGAAAUGGCAUUGGAUACUAUCUGGCUAGAGGAAUGGAGGGGGGACUGGAAUACCUGGUGUAGCAGUGAAAUGCGUAGAUAUCAAGUGGAACACCAGUGGCGAAGGCGAGUCCCUGGACAUUUCCUGACACUGAGGCACGAAAGCUAGGGGAGCAAACAGG
rnacentral:rRNA from 1 species